UUACGGCCAUAUCACGUUGAAACAUCGGUUCUCGUAUGACCACCGAAAUUAAGCAACGUCGGGCCUUGUCAGUACCUGGAUGGGUGACU